rnacentral:tRNA from 1 species
UGACCCCUUGGUCAAGUGGUUAAGACACUGCCCUUUCACGGCAGUAACAUGGGUUCAAAUCCCGUAGGGGUCAU